GAUGAACGCUGGCGGCGUGCCUAAUACAUGCAAGUCGAGCGAACAGACGAGGAGCUUGCUCCUCUGACGUUAGCGGCGGACGGGUGAGUAACACGUGGAUAACCUACCUAUAAGACUGGGAUAACUUCGGGAAACCAGAGCUAAUACCGGAUCAUAUAUUGAACCGCAUGGUUCAAUAGUGAAAGACGGUUUUGCUGUCACUUACAGAUGGAUCCGCGCCGCAUUAGCUAGUUGGUAAGGUAACGGCUUACCAAGGCAACGAUGCGUAGCCGACCUGGGAGGGUGAUCGGCCACACUGGAAAGGAGACACGGUCCAGACGCCUACGGGAGACAGCAGUAGGGAAUCUGCCGCAAUGGGCGAAAGCCUGACGGAGCAACGCCGCGUGAGUGAUGAAGGUCUUCGGAUCGUAAAACUCUGUUAUUGGGGAAGAACAAAUGUGUAAGUAACGAUGCACGUCUUGACGGUACCUAAUCAGAAAGCCACGGCUAACUACGUG
rnacentral:rRNA from 1 species